rnacentral:lncRNA from 12 species
UAAUGGCAAUUAGAUUCUCACACCAGUAAGGAUUGCCACAUAACUAUUUAUUCAUUCCACAAAUAUUUAUUGAGAGCUUACUAUCAACCCAUGUGCUAGAGCAAUGAGCAAAAUAAAUAUGAUCCUGCUCAUAGAGUGAAAGAUCAACAUUUUAAAAGAGUCAUACUAAAAAAAAAAAAAAAGAGUCAUACUAAUGACUACACCAUAUAUAAUUACAAAUGUCCUGAGGAUCAUAAAAUGUCACAUGGUAUUUACUUCAAACUUACCUUUGAUUAUCUACUACUAUUUUGAUUUUAACAAUGGGUAAUACUGAUUGUGUUAAUGAGGAGAUUUCCAGCUGCAAGUGCCAGAAACCCAACUGAAACUAGCUUAAGAAUAAAAAGGAAUUUAUUGGCUCACUCUAGGCACACCAGAAGCAGGAACUGAAAUGAUACCUCCCUUUGAAUUUCCAGACCUCGCCUUCCUCCUCAAUGUUGAUUUAAUUCUCAGGCAGCCUCUCUUCCGUGUGGCCAAUGACAUGGCUACUGGCAAUCCAGAUAUACAGGACCUAUAAUAUUCUAGAUCCAGAAGGAGCCCUCUCGCCCAAGGUGUCUGUACCAGCAUCUAGAGAAGACCUGAUCUGCCCACUUUGGGUCAUGUAGUCUUCCUGAACCAAUCCCCGAGGCCAAAGGAAUGGAGUGCUCCCAUUGGUCAGGCUGGAUCCUUACCCUCACCCAUGUGCUCAGGGUACAGGCAGGAUUGAAGCCAUCCAAACUGUAAAGAAUGGUUCUGGUACCAAAAUAAGACGUGUUGGAUGGUCAGAAGCCAUUCAGCCACCCCAUGGCAGUGUCUGAAAUUGUGCCUCUCUCUGCAGGUCCUGGAGGCCUUCACACUACAGCGCAGUGCACACUCCAAGCCAAAUACCGGCAGGUGGGGAUAGGAAGCAAAGGCUUCCCGUUUCUAGCCUGAUCUAUGUCUUAACAGGCCGAGUCCACCAGAGGUCAGGGCAGAGCGCAAAGCCGGAAUCAUCCUGGGGCUGACUCUUCAACCGGCUCAAAUCAGCGACUCACGCCAGCGGUCCCUGGGCGCACGCAGGCUGCGGCUGCCAGAAAGAAAACCCAGACUGUGGCAAAGCGACGGUGUUUCCUUCAGAACUGCCCUCCUAAGGUUCAGGUUCAGACUUCAAAGGAGGGAGAGACAGGGUUAGGGAAGCGAUUUUUAGAACACCAUUACUUUGCAACUGCCUAUGUUCUGCUGAAGAAACACAGAUACCAGGGACUCAGAAUCCACGAGACAUAAUUGAAGUGAAAUUUCACCUAUAUGAAAAACAACUGGAAGAAAAAUUUCUAUAUUAGGUGAUUUAAAAAGCCUCCAACAAAUUUCAAAAACAGGAAUCAAAGACCAUAAUCUCUGACCACAAGGUAAUUGGGUUAGAAAUUUAUGACAAUAGAUGAGGAGACAUUUCUCUUUGUAAAAAUAUUUCAGAUAAUAAUUGAAAGGGUGAUAUGUGUUUUGCUACUUGUCAUGAUUUAAUGGAUCUAAGCAAUGAGAAUGGGAACCAGCUAACAUGACAGAGAGACCAUCAGAUACCUUGUACCUCCUGAUGAAAAGAACAUACUGCCCAUGAAGGCUUCUCACCAAAAUG